rnacentral:rRNA from 1 species
AUUAUUGGGCGUAAAGAGCUCGUAGGUGGCUUGUCGCGUCUGCCGUGAAAACCCGAGGCUCAACCUCGGGCGUGCGGUGGGUACGGGCAGGCUAGAGUGUGGUAGGGGAGACUGGAACUCCUGGUGUAGCGGUGAAAUGCGCAGAUAUCAGGAAGAACACCGAUGGCGAGGGCAGGUCUCUGGGCCAUUACUGACACUGAGGAGCGAAAGCAUGGGUAGCGAACAGGAUUAGAUACCCUGGUAGUCCAUGCCGUAAACGUUGGGCACUAGAUGUGGGGGACAUUCCACGUUUUCCGCGUCGUAGCUAACGCAUUAAGUGCCCCGCCUGGGGAGUACGGCCGCAAGGCUAAAACUCAAAGGAAUUGACGGGGGCCCGCACAAGCGGCGGAGCAUGCUGAUUAAUUCGAUGCAACGCGAAGAACCUUACCAAGGCUUGACAUGCACCGGACGACUCCAGAGAUGGGGUUUUCUUCGGACUGGUGCACAGGUGGUGCAUGGUUGUCGUCAGCUCGUGUCGUGAGAUGUUGGGUUAAGUCCCGCAACGAGCGCAACCCUUGUUCUAUGUUGCCAGCACGUGAUGGUGGGGACUCAUAGGAGACUGCCGGGGUCAACUCGGAGGAAGGUGGGGACGACGUCAAAUCAUCAUGCCCCUUAUGUCUUGGGCUUCAAGCAUGCUACAAUGGUCGGUACAAUGGGUUGCGAAACUGUGAGGUGGAGCGAAUCCCAAAAAGCCGGCCUCAGUUCGGAUUGGGGUCUGCAAAUCGACCCCAUGAAGUCGGAGUCGCUAGUAAUCGCAGAUCAGCAACGC